AGGUUGGACAGGGUGGUGGUUUGGUCAAACACAGGAAUUUCACCCAGGAGAGUGAGGUUCAUGUCCCGUGUGUCCUUAAUCCAAGCGUCUCUUUCUUUUUUUACU